UUACGACCAUAUCACGUUCAAUCUACCAGUUGCCGUACGAUCAUUAAAGCUAAGCAGCGUCGAGUUGGUCAGUACCUAUAUGGGUGACUGUUUGGGAAUACCAAGUGCUGUAAG